rnacentral:rRNA from 1 species
GACGAACGCUGGCGGCGUGCUUAACACAUGCAAGUCGAACGGAAAGGCCUCUUUCGGGGGGUACUCGAGUGGCGAACGGGUGAGUAACACGUGAGUAACCUGCCCUUGACUUUGGGAUAACUUCAGGAAACUGGGGCUAAUACCGGAUAGGAGCUCCUGCUGCAUGGUGGGGGUUGGAAAGUUUCGGCGGUUGGGGAUGGACUCGUGGCUUAUCAGCUUGUUGGUGGGGUAGUGGCUUACCAAGGCUUUGACGGGUAGCCGGCCUGAGAGGGUGACCGGCCACAUUGGGACUGAGAUACGGCCCAGACUCCUACGGGAGGCAGCAGUGGGGAAUAUUGCACAAUGGGUGGAAGCCUGAUGCAGCAACGCCGUGUGCGGGAUGACGGCCUUCGGGUUGUAAACCGCUUUCGCUCAUGACGAAGCUUUGUGUGACGGUAGUGGGUAAAGAAGCACCGGCUAACUACGUG